rnacentral:rRNA from 1 species
GACAGAGGGUGCGAACGUUGUUCGGAAUUACUGGGCGUAAAGCGCGUGUAGGCGGUCGUGCAAGUCGGGUGUGAAAGCCCUGGGCUCAACCCAGGAAGUGCAUUCGAUACUGCGCGACUGGAGUCCCGGAGAGGAUGGUGGAACUCUCGGUGUAGAGGUGAAAUUCGUAGAUAUCGAGAAGAACGCCGGUGGCGAAGGCGGCCAUCUGGACGGUGACUGACGCUGAGACGCGAAAGCGUGGGGAGCAAACAGG